rnacentral:rRNA from 1 species
AGAGUUUGAUCAUGGCUACAGAACGAACGCUGGCGGCAGGCUUAACACAUGCAAGUCGAACGGGUGUAGCAAUACAUCAGUGGCAGACGGGUGAGUAACACGUGGGAACCUUCCUAGGGGUACGGAACAACUCAGGGAAACUUGAGCUAAUACCGUAUACGUCCGUGAGGAGAAAGAUUUAUCGCCCUUAGACGGGCCCGCGUCGGAUUAGCUAGUUGGUGGGGUAACGGCCUACCAAGGCGACGAUCCGUAGCUGAUCUUAGAGGAUGAUCAGCCACACUGGGACUGAGACACGGCCCAGACUCCUACGGGAGGCAGCAGUGGGGAAUCUUGGACAAUGGGCGCAAGCCUGAUCCAGCCAUGCCGCGUGAGUGAAGAAGGUCUUCGGAUUGUAAAGCUCUUUUGCCAGGGACGAUAAUGACGGUACCUGGAGAAUAAGCCCCGGCAAACUUCGUG